GGAAAAAGAAAAAGAAAAGGGAAGCCACCCUUCUUCCUCAUUCACGUACUGCUUCCCUCACGUAACCACGCAGCCAUUGCUGCCGCCAGCGCUGCGACCACCAAGUCGGACCACCGUCGUCCUCCCCUGCCGCCGCCACCACCUCACGGCCGCCUGCUGCAGCCAGCCACGCCGCCUGGUCCUGCGACCACCUUAUCUCUGUCGCACCUCCGUCGGCCACCUCCUCUUUCCUUCUUCUUCACGAAACACCAACGCUCCUUAACUCCUCUUUCCUUCCUUUGCGUGCUACCACCACCAACGCACGCCCACCAGCGCAGCCACCACCCUGCUCCACCGUCGCACCACCAGUCUCCGCGACCAGUCGUGUUGCUGCCGCGAAAUCUGCCGCCGGCCAGCCUCCUCUUUCUUUUCUUUGGUGGAGAAUUCUCUUUAGGCGACUUUUAAAAGUGUUAAAGUGACGUAUCAGUUUGUUUACACAAGUCUCUAAGGAUCAAUAAGCAUUGUCCAUCUGCAGGUUUGAAGAUGUUGCAUCAUUGGGAUCGGGAAUAGAGAGCUUGUAUUUAGUUUUGAUUUGCUAAGUUAACUUGGGUUUGUUAAUUGGGACUUUAAACUUGUCGUACUAUUUAUAUUUCCUUAUUUUCGUUGGUUGAUUUUUGGGGACUAAAUCUGUAAUCGAUUAUUUAUAAACCUAAAGUUAGUUUUAUGUUUUCCGCUGCAAAAUUCUGAAUAAGCCGUUACGUUUUCACA